AAAUGUGCUAUUAAAUAUUAGCCUGGGAAAACCCUGAGAAACUUCCGGGAAAUUUGAUAUUUGCUCUGCAAGUCAGUCUGGCCAACAGCCAACUCAAGCCCAUUUCCAAUUUUUCCAACUCAAGGCACCAAUCACAACCGUUGAGGCAGGCUUUACACAAUGACGAUAAGGCAGCAACGGCAAGCAGCUCUUUGGUUACAUUCAACAUGACGGCCACCGUAGGGCAGCAACCCUUUGAUGCUGCUGU